AUUCAUAAAUCUGGUCCUUCACCGUCACGUGUGUAUUGUAUUUUUGCCAAAUCCACCAAUAGCAAUUUCCCUAUAUAUUGUUCGAGUCACGGAUAGCUAGGUAACUUUCCUAAAACAUUGUUAUUGGUUAGUUGGGCAAAAAUACAAUACACACGUGAUGGUGAAGGACCAGAUUUAUGAAU